GUUGUCGUGGCCGAGUGGUUAAGGCGAUGGACUAGAAAUCCAUGCCAACAACG
rfam:Salmo salar isolate Sally breed double haploid chromosome ssa06, whole genome shotgun sequence.